rnacentral:rRNA from 1 species
UACAGAGGGUGCAAGCGUUGUUCGGAAUUACUGGGCGUAAAGGGCGCGUAGGCGGUUCGCUAAGUUGGAUGUGAAAACUCUGGGCUUAACCCAGAGCCUGCAUCCAAAACUGGCGAACUGGAGUACUGGAGGGGAAGGCGGAAUUCCUGGUGUAGCGGUGAAAUGCGCAGAUAUCAGGAGGAACACCGGUGGCGAAGGCGGGUCUCUGGGCCGAUACUGACGCUGAGGAGCGAAAGCGUGGGGAGCGAACAGG